UAGUUCAAUCCUCAAAAAAAAAAAGUUCCAUCUCAAAACUCGACUCUGACCUACGUGGUUCUCGAAACCUGCCGCCGCCACAGACAUCUACUCCCCACUCCCCAAGCUGUUGUUGCUCCGGCUGGCCGGCGAUGGAGGACGCUGGGCUUGAGUUCUUGCUGGAUGACGUCGACCGGUUUCUGCUGCGAGAAGAGUUCACCAACAGCUUGGAACAAACCAGAUCCCGUCCCUCUAGCGGUGCUCCCGCGGCUGAAUACUGCCCCUGCUGCGCCGGCGGACUCAAAUGCUGGCUCCGGGUGCGGUCAGCAUGUUGGUUGCGCUAGCCCCGGGAGGCCGGAGGCCGACAAGCGCCGGCGACGGCAGGCUUCUCUGACGAGGUUUGCACAGUGCACUGACAGGGGCAAUCCCGGGCGCUGUUUACAGUUUUUUUUUGGCAAAUGUUGUGAUGGCUACAAAUAGGUUACGCCUUGGGAGUGCACUGCCGGACAGAACGCCGUGUCCAUCUAGGAUGAGCACCUUAGAGCAGAAUGUUUUCCCUUUUAACCCAUGGGAUCCCCAUCUCUUCCUCCUCCCUCUUCAACUUCUUCAAUCUGCAACACAUCUGCAGCCCAAGACUGCCUCGCAGCUCGUCAAAUUAUCAGCCAUCACGGGCAACAGCCAGGGUCAUUACGGCCGUGACGUCUGGUCCUUCUACUUUGGAUGUUUUAGCCAAGCCCACUGUAUUGGAGCAUAGGGCAAUACGCCUUGCAUAGCCAUGUGCAUGUUCGUGGGAUGUCUAUAAAUGAUGCUCUUGAGUGAAUUUUGGGUCACUAUCACAUUAUCUAUGGCGGCAAUUUUUUUAUCUCUGUCAAAGUCUCCACAAGGCUUCCUUGAAAAAAGAGUAUUUACUAGGCAUUUGAUGAAAAUCAAGGCAGGCUUGCAUGUGAAAAAUUGUAUAUUCAAAUUUUAAGUCUCACCCACUCUGCUAUAUCUAUUCAUUGUUUGCAGGUUUUGAAUAAAAGAAGUUCAGCAAGUACGUUCCGAACCCAUAUUUGUGUCAUUGAUUCUUAGUUAAUAUUCACUAUCCACACCUUGCUCUCUUAUGGCUUUAGUCCAUAAGGUGCUGCUGCACAAUUCUGUACUAAAGCAAUGGUCAUUGAUGAUGCUACGGAGGCAUAGCCUGCCUAUUAAGUAGAUUUAAAAAAUAUUUCGAAAAUAUGUUCUCUGAAAAUACUUCUCAGUCUAUAUAUCCUUUUAUGUUUACUCAUUUUCAGCAUUGUAUUUUUUCCAAUUUGGAUCCAAGAAAAUUUACAAAAUUAUCUCUAAACUAUGUAUACAACAUGUACACUGAUUUCCUUACAUUUUUAGAUUAAUUACAGUUCCAUGUAUUCUAUAAAAUGAGUUUACUCCAUGCUAAUAAAGCUAUGUUAAACAUAGGGGUUACACUGGACAUCAUGUAUUUUUUUCUUUUUAUUGUUUGAGGGCAAAAGGGAUUUUUAUACAGAAGCCAUAGCAGUAUAAGUAGUCUGUAGCAACAACACGAGUGCUACAAAGUUUCUGAUCUGAAAAAAAAUUACUAUCGGAAAAUGAUGAAAUUCGCCUUUAUAUUUGCAAGCUAUGGAUGUUGUACGGAUGGGCGAUGCGAGCGCAGAAGCGUUCGCGUACAUGUCGACUGGACUGAAGGCCUUGUUGGUUUGUGGUGCACCAUUGGCAGAGAAGAGGGAUGGUUUGGGCUUCGAGGACCGCCGUCAACUUUGCCUGCCGGGAGGCUACCUGUCAAUGGAGAAGUUGCAUUUGUGGGAAAUUGCAGUGCUGAGCAUGAUGACAGUGUUGGCCUCUCUGUCAGUGUGAAUGCACUUCAAGGUCUCACUGCUCUGAAGAAGCAGAGAGGUGUUGGCCGAUGAAUAGCUGGAGAAAGCACCGUAUGAGGGACUGAGUAAACAGACGAGGUUUUGCAGCAUUUUUUGUCGCGAAGUCCACAAGAGGACAACCUGCCCCUGACCGGGGGAUGCCCCAAGCAAACCACGGAAAGCCGAGGAAAUGCAAGAACUGUGGUAUGCAAGGGCAGUGCCAGAGCACAUGCACACACCGCUCGGUGGUGCUCAAAAUAAGAUGUGAUAGUUAAAAUUUUAAUUCUGAAACUUGUACUCUUGAGGAUUUUCUCGUGUGUUUCAGUGAGCAAUGCUCUACCCUUGUGUUCCUCCAGUUCGGGACAUGAGACCUACUGUACCAUUGAGUAAAUUUUGUUGUCGUUCA